rfam:Actinomyces johnsonii F0510 genomic scaffold Scaffold274, whole genome shotgun sequence.
CCCCCCAGGCCUCUCGCUCGUCAGAGCACGCCCAAAUCGGGGGGU